CUUCAGCGAGCCGAGCAGCACCGGCCGGUCGCGGUCCUGCCCGUAGGUGGCGAGCAGGGCCUGGGCCUC
rnacentral:antisense_RNA from 1 species